ACUCGGAUGGAUAUAAUACAACCUGCUAAGUGUCCUAGCACUUAUCGGGUUGUAUUAUCAUUGUCCGUGUCU
rnacentral:pre_miRNA from 1 species